rnacentral:rRNA from 1 species
AAUCAACGCUGGCGGCGUGCCUCAGACAUGCAAGUCGAACGAUUAAACUUUCCUUCGGGAAAGAUAUAAAGUGGCGCACGGGUGAGUAACACGUAGGUAAUGUACCUUUGGGUGGGGAAUAACCAUCGGAAACGAUGGCUAAUACCGCAUAAUGCAGCGGCAUCGCAAGAUGACAGUUGUUAAAGAUUUAUCGCCUAAAGAGCAGCCUGCGGCAGAUUAGGUAGNGGUAAGGUAAUGGCUUACCAAGCCUGCGAUCUGUAACCGACCUGAGAGGGUGGUCGGUCACACUGACACUGAAUAACGGGUCAGACUCCUACGGGAGGCAGCAGUCGGGAAUUUUGGGCAAUGGGCGAAAGCCUGACCCAGCAACGCCGCGUGAAGGACGAAGUCUUUCGGGAUGUAAA